AGUGAACGCUGGCGGUAGGCCUAACACAUGCAAGUCGAACGGCAGCACAGGAGAGCUUGCUCUCUGGGUGGCGAGUGGCGGACGGGUGAGGAAUACAUCGGAAUCUACUCUGUCGUGGGGGAUAACGUAGGGAAACUUACGCUAAUACCGCAUACGACCUACGGGUGAAAGCAGGGGACCUUCGGUCCUUGCGCGAUGGAAUGAGCCGAUGUCGGAUAAGCUAGUUGGCGGGGUAAAGGCCCACCAAGGCGACGAUCCGUAGCUGGUCUGAGAGGAUGAUCAGCCACACUGGAACUGAGACACGGUCCAGACUCCUACGGGAGGCAGCAGUGGGGAAUAUUGGACAAUGGGCGCAAGCCUGAUCCAGCCAUACCGCGUGGGUGAAGAAGGCCUUCGGGUUGUAAAGCCCUUUUGUUGGGAAAGAAAUCCAGCUGGCUAAUACCCGGUUGGGAUGACGGUACCCAAAGAAUAAGCACCGGCUAACUUCGUGCCAGCCGCCGCGGUAA
rnacentral:rRNA from 1 species